UCCUCAAUAGUAUAAUGGUCAUUACUCCCGCCUUCAAGUGGUGGACUGGGGUUCGAUUCCCCGUCGGUGAG
rnacentral:tRNA from 1 species